UUGAAUGGGCAAACCAGAAUCUGUCAUUUGGAAAAAUGUCAAAAUGAAGUGCACUGACAAGUUCAACCCCCCUUUUAUCGCCCAAAAAGAUUUCAAGUAAAAAAAGUUCUCCUGAUUUUGCCAAAUUGCCUUUUUCAGAUGAAGAAAAGAUUGAUGUAAAAAUGGGGAUGAGGAAACGUAGUCACCUUUACGGAACCCUUUGAGUUCUAUGAAAUAAGACGUUGGAAGAGGGGUGUCGUAAGGAUAGAUCCAUUAAAGACUGGGAGCUGUGAAGAUAUGACAGUAAUGAAGCCUGUAGAGGCGAGGUCGAAGGAUGGAGCAUUAAACGGAGGAAGAAGCAAGGUGCUAAAUCCGGCACUUGCAAGAAGAAACCUGGUCUUCCUGCUGAGGGAGCCAAGGUGGACACCAGUCCAACCACGGCA